UCGGUUUCCCUUCCUUUUUCCACAGUUUUCUCGGGAGCCAAACAGGAGUCAAGAAAGAUAUCGGCAAAGAAAGUGAAGAAUUGGAAAGGCAGAGCACAGUUGGAAAAUGGGCACAGUGGUUUCAUGGAAACAGCUUCUUCUCAGAGCUUUGGACUCCAACUCCAGCCUCAAGCACUCUUCUUUUUUCCAGCUUGCCACUGUUGGAUCCAGUGGGCGACCUUCCAAUCGCACAGUCGUUUUCAGAGGGUUUCAAGGGGAUUCUGAUAAGAUACAGAUCAACACUGAUGGCCGCACUCGCAAGAUUGAAGAGCUUAAGCAUUGCCCAUUUUCCGAGAUAUGUUGGUAUUUUACUGACUCUUGGGAGCAAUUCCGGAUCAAUGGAAGGGUUGAUGUUAUUGAUGGAUCGGAUCCUGAUCCCAUGAAGCUUCAGGAAAGAGAGAAUGCCUGGUUUGCUAGUUCUCUGAAAUCUAGAUUGCAGUACUUGGGUCCUAAUCCAGGUCUUCCCUGUCUAAGUGAACAACCAGCCCAGGAGUGUUCUCCGGAUCCUUCCACUGGCCCAGUUGCUGCAUUUUGUCUGCUGAUUUUAGAUCCAGAUCAGGUUGAUUACCUGAAUUUGAAGAAUAAUGAGAGGCUAACAUUUACAUCCAGCAAAAAUGUGGAUGGAGUGAAGUGUUGGAAUUCAGAGAAAAUCAACCCAUGCUUGAACUUUUAAUCCCUGGCCAGGAAUCAUCAGAGGGAAUGAUGUUUGAUGUCAGAAGCAAGAAGCAAGAUUGAAUUCAACUGCUUGCCUCCAAUGGAAGCUCAUGUAUGUUAAACCAAGAUACUGGUUGGACUGAGCUGGGCAAUACUUGAAGGGCCCUAACAUCCUGAGCCGAGGCCUAAGUCCUGAUCAUGUCGAGUUGAGAGCCCAACUGGGCUGGGUUGUGCAGAUGCUCACAUCUUGUUACAUUAUUAAUUGGGUUUUGUUUCAACCUUUUAAUCUGGGCGAGGCUCAUCACCACGAUGCAAGAGACCAAACAAAUGAAGCAAGAGAAUUUUGCAGUUUUAUUCAUCCAAUCUUUACUACAUUUUUGUUUUCAUGUUUGGACCACAUGUAUCACACACUUGCGUCAAAGAAUCCUUGAUGGGGAA